rnacentral:rRNA from 1 species
UUAACUUUGCAGGGUGCCAUCACCAAAAGGAUGACAACAAUUGAGGAAAUGGCAGGAAUGGAUGUUCUCUAAUGUGACAAAACUGGAACUCUCACUCUCAACCAUCUUACCGUCGACAAAAACCUAAUCGAGGUACUUUUCUUAUCCUAA